rnacentral:rRNA from 1 species
AAAAAAAAAAAGAAAAAAAAAAGAAGAUAGAGCGACAGGCAAGUCUAGUACGAAGAGAUGGGAUGACCGCGUUAGAGUGAAAGGACUUGCUCCUGGAGCUCGAGGCGGUGGCACAAGCUUGGGGGAAGCGACUGUUUACUAAAAACACAGCAGCGUGCUAAGCCGUAAGGCCCUGUAUACGCUGUGACGCCUGCCCGGUGCUGGAAGGUCACGGGGAAGGGUUAGCCUUCGGGCGAAGCUCUGAACCUAAGCCCCAGUAAACGGCGGCCGUAACUAUAACGGUCCUAAGGUAGCGAAAUUCCUUGUCGGGUAAGUUCCGACCUGCACGAAUGGCGUAACGACUUCCCUACUGUCUCAACCACAGACCCAGCGAAAUUGAAGUACGAGUAAAGAUGCUCGUUAGCUGCAGAAGGACGGAAAGACCCCGUGGACCUUUACUACAGCUUGGUAUUGAGAUUUGUUUUGCGUUGUGUAGGAUAGGUGGGAGGCUAUGAAGCAUUGGCGCCAGCCAGUGUGGAGCCAACCUUGAAAUACCACCCUGCGUAUGGCGAGUCUCUAACCUCGGCCCGUUAUCCGGGCUGGGAACAGUGCCAGGUGGGUAGUUUGACUGGGGCGGUCGCCUCCUAAAGAGUAACGGAGGCGCGCAAAGGUUCCCUCAGACUGGUUGGCAAUCAGUCGUCGAGUGCAAUGGCAUAAGGGAGCUUGACUGCGAGACCUACAAGUCAAGCAGGUGCGAAAGCAGGCCAUAGUGAUCCGGCGGUUGCGUGUGGAAGCGCCGUCGCUCAACGGAUAAAAGGUACCCCGGGGAUAACAGGCUAAUCUUCCCCAAGAGUCCAUAUCGACGGGAAGGUUUGGCACCUCGAUGUCGGCUCAUCGCAUCCUGGGGCUGAAGCAGGUCCCAAGGGUUGGGCUGUUCGCCCAUUAAAGCGGUACGCGAGCUGGGUUUAGAACGUCGUGAGACAGUUCGGUCCCUAUCCUCUGCAGCCGUAGGUAGAUUGAGAAAAGCUGUCCCUAGUACGAGAGGACCGGGACGGACGCAGCUCUCGUGUGCCAGUUGUCCUGCCAAGGGCACGGCUGGUUAGCGACCUGCGGAAGGGAUAACCGCUGAAAGCAUCUAAGUGGGAAGCCUCUUUCGAGAUGAAUCUACCCACAGGGUUAACCUGGUAAGGCCCGUGGUAGACGACCACGUUGAUAGGCCGGAAGUGUACGCGUGGUAACACGUUCAGCUGACCGGUACUAAUCGGCCGAGGGCUUGGGCCA